UCAAGCAUUAAGAGCGCAGGGUGGAUGCCUUGGCACUGAGAGCCGAUGAAGGACGUGAUAAGCUGCGAAAAGCUUCGGGGAGGAGCAAAUAUCCAUUGAUCCGGAGAUAUCCGAAUGGGGAAACCCACUUGAGCAGACCUCAAGUAUCCAUACGCCAAUCCAUAACGUAUGGAAGGGAACCGGGGGAACUGAAACAUCUAAGUACCCCGAGGAGAAGAAAGAAACCUCGAUUUCCAAAGUAGCGGCGAGCGAAAUGGAAAGAGCCCAAACCGUGGUGCGUGCACCGCGGGGUUGUGGACUGCAUAAGGUACUCGAAUCAAUAGCCGAACAGUUUUGGGAAAUCUGAUCAGAGAGGGUGAAAAUCCCGUAGGCGAAAUUGAUGAGAGGCUGGCAGGAUCCAGAGUACCACGAGACACGGGAAACCUUGUGGGAAGCAGGAGGGACCACCCUCCAAGGCUAAAUACUCCUCAGUGACCGAUAGCGCAUAGUACUGUGAAGGAAAGGUGAAAAGGACCCCGGGAGGGGAGUGAAAGAGAACCUGAAACCCUGUGUUUACAAGCUGUGGGACAUCUUUACAUGAUGAACCGCGUACUUUUUGUAGAACGGUCCGGCGAGUUGCGGAUGCCGGCAAGGUUAAGCACUUAAGGUGUGGAGCCGAAGGGAAACCAAGUCUGAAGAGGGCGUAUAUAGUCAGUAUCCGCAGACCCGAAACCGGGUGAUCUACCCAUGUCCAGGUUGAAGUUGCCGUAAAAGGCAAUGGAGGACCGAACGCACAUCCGUUGAAAAGGGUGGCGAUGAGGUGUGGGUAGGGGAGAAAUUCCAAUCGAACCCGGAGAUAGCUGGUUCUCCUCGAAAUAGCUUUAGGGCUAGCCUCGAUGGAGUCUUACGGAGGUAGAGCACUGAAUUUCUAAGGGGGCGUCAAAGCUUACCAAGGGAUAUCAAACUCCGAAUGCCGUAAAGAUGCUCAUCGGGAGUCAGACUGCACGAGAUAAGUUGGGCAGUCAAAAGGGAAAGAGCCCAGACCUGCUGCUAAGGUCCCAAAGUACGUGUUAAGUGGAAAAGGAUGUGGGAUUUCGAAGACAACUAGGAUGUUGGCUCAGAAGCAGCCACACAUUCAAAGAGUGCGUAAUAGCUCACUAGUCGAGAGGUCCUGCGCCGAAAAUGUCCGGGGCUGAAACACAACACCGAAGCUCAGGAAUGUAUUUAUACAUUGGUAGAGGAGCAUUCUUAAAGGGGCGAAGCAGUACCGAUAAGGAGCUGUGGACUUUUAAGAAGAGAGAAUGCCGGAAUGAGUAGCGAGAUGGAGGUGGGAAUCCUCCAGGCCGAAUAUCUAAGGUUUCCAGGGUAAAGCUGAUCUGCCCUGGGUAAGUCGGGGCCUAAGGCAAGGCUGAGAAGCGUAGCUGAUGGACAACAGGUUUAGAUUCCUGUACCACAUGGUAUCAGAACUGUGGGGACGCAGAGGGAUAAGAUGACCGGGGGACAGAUUCCCGGGCAAGCGCAGGAGGUGUCAGGCAGGCAAAUCCGUCUGACAAGCCAAAGGCGUGACGCGGACCGAACUAAAGUAGGGAAGCAUCCGAUUCCAGCUGCCGAGAAAAGCCGCUAUUGUGUAUCAUGUGCCCGUACCGUAAACCGACACAGGUGGAUGAGGAGAGAAUCCUAAGGCCGGCGGGAGAAGCAUUGUUAAGGAACUCGGCAAAAUGACCCCGUAACUUCGGGAUAAGGGGUGCCAGAGAGAUCUGGCCGCAGAGAAUAGGCUCAAGCAACUGUUUAGCAAAAACACAGGUCUAUGCGAAACCGUAAGGUGAUGUAUAUGGGCUGACGCCUGCCCGGUGCUGGAAGGUUAAGAGGAGAGGUUAGAGCAAUCGAAGCUUUGAAUUGAAGCCCCAGUAAACGGCGGCCGUAACUAUAACGGUCCUAAGGUAGCGAAAUUCCUUGUCGGGUAAGUUCCGACCCGC
rnacentral:rRNA from 1 species